rnacentral:rRNA from 1 species
ACGAACGCUGGCGGCAUGCCUAACACAUGCAAGUCGAACGAGACCUUCGGGUCUAGUGGCGCACGGGUGCGUAACGCGUGGGAACCUGCCCUUAGGUUCGGAAUAACUCCCCGAAAGGGGUGCUAAUACCGGAUAAUGUCUUCGGACCAAAGAUUUAUCGCCUUUGGAUGGGCCCGCGUUGGAUUAGCUAGUUGGUAGGGUAAAAGCCUACCAAGGCGACGAUCCAUAGCUGGUCUGAGAGGAUGAUCAGCCACACUGGGACUGAGACACGGCCCAGACUCCUACGGGAGGCAGCAGUGGGGAAUAUUGGACAAUGGGCGAAAGCCUGAUCCAGCAAUGCCGCGUGAGUGAUGAAGGCCUUAGGGUUGUAAAGCUCUUUUACCCGGGAUGAUAAUGACAGUACCGGGAGAAUAAGCGCCGGCUAACCCCGUG